rnacentral:rRNA from 1 species
CGUGGGUAACCUGCCCAAGAGAUCGGGAUAACACCUGGAAACAGAUGCUAAUACCGGAUAGCAACAGAUGAUGCCUAUCAACUGUUUAAAAGAUGGUUCUGCUAUCACUCUUGGAUGGACCUGCGGUGCAUUAGCUAGUUGGUAGGGUAACGGCCUACCAAGGCGAUGAUGCAUAGCCGAGUUGAGAGACUGAUCGGCCACAUUGGGACUGAGACACGGCCCAAACUCCUACGGGAGGCAGGU